rnacentral:misc_RNA from 1 species
GAUGAAGAACGCAGCGAAAUGCGAUACGUAGUGUGAAUUGCAGAAUUCAGUGAAUCAUCGAAUCUUUGAACGCACAUUGCGCCCGCCAGUAUUCUGGCGGGCAUGCCUGUUCGAGCGUCAUUUCAACCAUCAAGCCCCCCGGCUUGUGUUGGGGACCUGCGGCUGCCGCAGGCCCUGAAAAGCAGUGGCGGGCUCGCUGUCACACCGAGCGUAGUAGAUCUCAUCUCGCUCAGGGCGUUCUGCGGGUUCCGGCCGUUAAACCACCUUCAUAACCCAAGGUUGACCUCGGAUCAGGUAGGAAGACCCGCUGAACUUAAGCAUAUCAAUAAGCGGAGGA